rnacentral:rRNA from 1 species
AGUGAACGCUGGCGGCAGGCCUAACACAUGCAAGUCGAGCGGCAGCGGGUUCCCGCGAGGGGAUGCCGGCGAGCGGCGGACGGGUGAGGAACACAUCGGAAUCUGCCUGGUUGUGGGGGAUAACGUAGGGAAACUUACGCUAAUACCGCAUGCGACCCUGAGUCGACGGACUGGGGGUGAAAGUGAGGGACCUUCGGGCCUCACGCGACCAGAUGAGCCGAUGUCGGAUUAGCUAGUUGGCGGGGUAACGGCCCGCCAAGGCGACGAUCCGUAGCUGGUCUGAGAGGAUGAUCAGCCACACUGGGACUGAGACACGGCCCAGACUCCUACGGGAGGCAGCAGUGGGAAUCUUGGACAAUGGGCGCAAGCCUGA